rnacentral:lncRNA from 1 species
UUUUAGGUUCCAGUAUGUUCUCAACUCCAUUAUAUUUUACUGCAAGGACAAAACCACCUGGCUUGGAUAAAGUGACUUGAACAAUUCCAUUGUCGAUCACAACCUAAAAAGAGAUAUCCAAUUUUUAUUUGUAGCCUGGUAUGAAAAAUAAUAGGUUUUUAAGGAAAGAAAAGAAAAUUAAUAAUUCAUAGUUACAGAUUCAGGCUCUUCACGCA